rfam:Angiostrongylus costaricensis strain Costa Rica genome assembly, scaffold: ACOC_scaffold0002251
GGCGAGAUGGCGGAGCGGUCCAUGGCGCUCGUUUUAGGCACCAGUCCUCUUGGGGGCGUGGGUUCGAAUCCCACUCUCGUCA